UAAUAUCUUCAGGGCAGGGUGAAAUUCCCGAUCGGUGGUGAGCAUUGCUUCUCAAUGUAAGUCCGCGACUCAAACUGCAUGGUGCAUUUGAUUGAUAUGGUGAAAUUCCAUAACCGACAGUACAGUCUGGUAUAUAGAAGAUUUUA
rfam:Weissella viridescens strain DSM 20410 Scaffold1, whole genome shotgun sequence.